rnacentral:rRNA from 1 species
GGGGAAUAUUGCACAAUGGGCGAAAGCCUGAUGCAGCGACGCCGCGUGAGGGAUGGAGGCCUUCGGGUUGUAAACCUCUUUCGCUCAUGGUCAAGCCGCAACUUGGGGUUGUGGUGAGGGUAGUGGGUAAAGAAGCGCCGGCUAACUACGUGCCAGCAGCCGCGGUAAUACGUAGGGCGCGAGCGUUGUCCGGAAUUAUUGGGCGUAAAGGGCUUGUAGGCGGUUGGUCGCGUCUGCCGUGAAAUCCUCUGGCUUAACUGGGGGCGUGCGGUGGGUACGGGCUGACUUGAGUGCGGUAGGGGAGACUGGAACUCCUGGUGUAGCGGUGGAAUGCGCAGAUAUCAGGAAGAACACCGGUGGCGAAGGCGGGUCUCUGGGCCGUUACUGACGCUGAGGAGCGAAAGCGUGGGGAGCGAACAGGAUUAGAUACCCUGGUAGUCCACGCUGUAAACGUUGGGCACUAGGUGUGGGGGCCACCCGUGGUUUCUGCGCCGCAGCUAACGCUUUAAGUGCCCCGCCUGGGGAGUACGGCCGCAAGGCUA